ACACUCCUCAAUCAAUAAUGCCGCCUUAUCUGCCUUCUAAAGAAAGGAUAAAUGGAAAAAGGAAGGAAGGAAAGCCACCCGUCCUGCAAAGAUGCCCAUAUCCUUGUGCUGUUACCUUUCUGGAUUCUGCCCGUUGCCUGAAAAGCUGACAGGAUCUGAAGGGGAUCAAACUCUGGUGUUCUGGCUUGCAAGGCAAACGUUGUGAGAGCCAAAAAGGUAUGUUUUAAGUUUUAAUUACUGUGCCUAAGAGAUCCAUGGAACAAAAAACUGUUGCUAACCUUUAAGUGUCUUGCCCAAGGACAGAUCUUUCCCCGAAAUGUUAGAAGCUAUUGCUUCUGGGAGAAGACAAGCCACAUGCUUCACUCCCCUAAACAAGUUUGUUUGGCUCAACCGUACUGGAUGUAGGUGUGAGGUAUGUAGGCAGAAUGUAUGCUUGCCCCUGAUUGGAUGUAAGUGGGAGGUACACAGACAGGAAGUGCUUCAGGAUAUAUGCUUGCCUCUGAUUGGACCUGCUGGGAAAAAUCUAACUUUAUGGGUUUGUCUUUAUAAGCCUCUGCAAAAUAUAUGACUUGUAGACAUUUUCUGGGAACCCAGGAAUGGACCUGGCUAGAGUCCAUCAUCUUGGCCAGUAUUCAAUUAAUUGCUUCAAAUAUGGCUCAAGACUGUGGUAGUGGUCUUACUCUUGCCAGUGGGAUUAGCAACGUCGAUUGAGUUAUCACUUUUUAUACUUGGCCCUGUGUCCUAGAGGGAACCAUCAAGUAAGCAGCCAUCGGAUAACUGAGAUUAUCUUUAAGCCUAGUUAAGGAACACACCCUCAAAGGGAGUCUAUGGGUCGGUAAGACUGUUUGAAAUUUAGAGGAUUGUCCAUGUCAAAGCAGGGCCUGUUGUAGGUAGGUACACUGGCUGGCAGGGAGUCCUGAGGGUUCCCAAAUAAAGCAAAGAUGUGAGUAAAGAGAAGGCAUGAGUACCCCUGAGCUGGAGUUACAGAAUUCUG
rnacentral:lncRNA from 1 species